UACAGAACGGAGCAGACAGCUUCUGGGAAGACCAGGUUCUGGCAUUUCUUGGACCGUGUACCAGAAUGGUUGUUGGAGAAAACCAUUUGAUGUCCCUGAGUCUCCAUUUCUCUGGAAAAAGAUAAGUUAGUCUUAUAUUACUCAGGGACCAGAAGCCUUCUUGAGCCUUCCAGCUUUUAGAUCUCUGGUACAAAUUUCCUGUGAAUGCCAAAAAUGUAUUUCUUUUAGAUCCCUUCCUUGGUUCAAAUUUCAUAAUACCUUAGAUUGACCUUCCUACUGAUUAAUUUGAACUAACAAGAUUUUAUUGUAGUACAUACACAAAUCUCUCAGGCUGUAAUGUGAGGCAUAGAUUGACCAAAAGGAUAGAUUUAUCUUCAGUGCUGCUCUGAGCACAAACCGAUGAACAAACCAAACACCGUUUGAUGAGGAUGACGUUCUUUCUUAUCUUGUUCAUUUCUAUGGCAAUUUCCACCAUUUGGAAUCUUGCAGGUCCCAACAGUCACAGAAUGAUGUUCCUUGCUGAGCAAUCUUUUCCAACUGUGACAGAAGGCAGAAGAGGGGUGAGCCCUGUUCUUCAUGAAAAAGGAGGCAGGAUGGAGUAAAAAAGAACAUGGAUUCCUUCCCUUCCAGAUAAUUCAGAUUGUUGCAAGGACUAAACGACACCAUGUCUGUGGAGUGCCUGGUGGUGUCUGACCCAUGGAAGAGGCUCAACAACAUGGUGGCUGAGACCAGAAAGGUGAGGCUAGAGAAGAUGAGGAGGGUCAGAGGGACUACUCUGAGACUCAGUUCUAGCUCACUUGUUAUCAAGUAAUCUUGGCACCAUCACCAUAUCCCUGAGCCUCAUCUAUAAAAUCAGGAUAAUGUGAUCUACUUCAUGGGUUUAACAUGAAAAUUAAAUGACAUAACAAGUGUGCAAAAUUUUUUAAAAGAAGAUAACUUUUAACAAAUAGGAAACCAUUGGUGGGCAAUGACACUAUGGCAGCUAGCACAGAGCCACACACAACUGGACCUGAGCGAAUGCUUUCUUUCUAUGGUAAUGAAGAGCAGCCGAGGUAAGGCCUCUCCCCCUGCCCACUCUCUGCUCUAGUCACAUUUGUUCUCUGUUCUGAAGACCUUCAUCCAUGCUGUUCCCUCUACCAUGAAUAAUCUUUCACCGCCACCCUUCACCUGAAACCACCUACUCACCACUCAGGGGUCAGUCUACACUCUUUUCCCAGAAGUCUUCCCUGCCCUUCACAAUUGAGCUCCAUGAAUUCCAAAACUGCCCUACUUGUCUUUGGCAAGAACACUGUCUUAUAAUAUUGAGUUUUGUCUAGACCAUUCCAUGAGACUGUAAACUUCUUGAAAGUAGAGAAUGCAUAUUUUCUCUAUUAGUGUACCUGCAACAUGGAGCCUUGUGUCAGCCCACAGAAGGUACUUGGAGAAUACUGAGUUGUGAGAUCAUGAAAGUAGAUUCAAAACCUAAAAGACUCGUCACGUGGUUCUCAUUUUUCUUAGGGUGCUAUGAUGGUUAACUGAUUGCCAUUCUCUCUUGCACUAAUGUUGUAGGAUCCGUGGCCUCAACUGGAAUUAUCAAGUGCUACAAAUUAUAGUUAAACCUAUGCUCAUUCAAGAUUCAAAGCUAAAACUUCUAAAAUGCUUAGCAACAUUAAAAAGAAAGUAGUUCAGAUUUGAAUGUUUUCAUCCAAGAGCAUUUAGAAGGGAUCAAUAAGCCAGUUCAACAAAUAUUUACCUUGAAUCAAGUCCUUAUUCUUCAAGCUUUUUACAUCUUUUUACAAUUCAAAAGAAAUGUAAUCCCUGAUAGUCUCCCUUCAUUUGUUCAUAAAGCAUUAAUAUGCUGGUUUGAAUGAGCUUUUUAAGAUGAAAAAAAAUGCCCUUUCAUUGGAGUUGUUGAAAGCAGCUUUUCCUCUUAAAUAUGGAGGUCAGUUUUUUACUGAACAGAAACAUUAAUUCAUCAAGAUAUUGUUGCCUCCUAAUACCAAUAUUGUUGCCUAUGAAUUCAAAGUAUAAGAUUUGACUAAAUUCAAAAAAAAAAAAAGAUUUGACUAAAUUCAUUUUCCUAUUAUUUAUCUAUAUUUUUUAAGAUAUAUCUAGGAUUGCAGUGGGCCAUUGCAAACUACUCAGCAGGUCAGCUAUCAAAGCUUUCAGACAAUAGCAAAAUUUUCAGCAGAGUGAAAAGGGAGUCAAGUUUUGGUCAUCUACAGCAACAAAGAGCUGUUGAAUGGAAAAAUAAAAUCUCUUGGGCUACUCA
ensembl:lncRNA